AAGGCCUUUCGGGGUACCCAAACGGCCGAACGGGUGAGUAACACGUGGGUGAUCUGCCCUGCACUUCGGGAUAAGCCUGGGAAACUGGGUCUAAUACCGGAUAUGACCUCCUAUCGCAUGGUGGGUGGUGGAAAGAUUUAUCGGUGCAGGAUGGGCCCGCGGCCUAUCAGCUUGUUGGUGGGGUAAUGGCCUACCAAGGCGACGACGGGUAGCCGACCUGAGAGGGUGACCGGCCACACUGGGACUGAGACACGGCCCAGACUCCUACGGGAGGCAGCAGUGGGGAAUAUUGCACAAUGGGCGAAAGCCUGAUGCAGCGACGCCGCGUGAGGGAUGACGGCCUUCGGGUUGUAAACCUCUUUCAGCAGGGACGAAGCGCAAGUGACGGUACCUGCAGAAGAAGCACCGGCUAACUACGUGCCAGCAGCCGCGGUAAUACGUAGGGUGCAAGCGUUGUCCGGAAUUACUGGGCGUAAAGAGUUCGUAGGCGGUUUGUCGCGUCGUUUGUGAAAACCAGCAGCUCAACUGCUGGCUUGCAGGCGAUACGGGCAGACUUGAGUACUGCAGGGGAGACUGGAAUUCCUGGUGUAGCGGUGAAAUGCGCAGAUAUCAGGAGGAACACCGGUGGCGAAGGCGGGUCUCUGGGCAGUAACUGACGCUGAGGAACGAAAGCGUGGGUAGCGAACAGGAUUAGAUACCCUGGUAGUCCACGCCGUAAACGGUGGGCGCUAGGUGUGGGUUCCUUCCACGGAAUCCGUGCCGUAGCUAACGCAUUAAGCGCCCCGCCCAGGCAGAACGNCNNGCAAGUCUAA
rnacentral:rRNA from 1 species